rnacentral:lncRNA from 1 species
AUGUUUAUUGAUCUGAGUCUUCAAAGUCAAAGCUUCUUGGCUCUUUCCAAGUCCUUUACAUGUUCUUACUGCUCUGGGCCUGCCUGUGUUUGUCCUCUGAUAGAUCUGGUUGGCACCAUCGUGUGUUGUGUGGAAAUGCACCGUGCCUGGGGGCCAGGACACUUCCUGAUGCAGAACGAGAAAACCUGUUGUUGGGAGGCAUCAAAGCUGCAGUGCCCAUGGGUUGUGACCACAGGGGAGUUGUGUUGCAUCUGCAAAUCUCUGCUGUACAUCAAGAGCACAUCUGAACAGAGCCACUGUGGACACUGAAGAGCUGGAGAGGACAUUGCGGAGGUUCGGAGGCACACCGUGAUGGUGGGAGCCAUUCCACGGCAGCCACGCCGCUUCUGGGGGGUGCCUGACUGGCAGGUGUCUUCAGCUAAUUGUGCCAACGACCGCCUGCUGCAGGGCAGGGAGGUUAAUCCGGAGCAAAGCAGGGUCCUGAUGCAGAGGGGUAAGUGUGGGGAGCAGCCAGGACAGGCUGCAGUGUUGUGGGCCACACAGAGGGGUUGAGGUUAGCAGGGACAUAUGGAGGUUAUCUGGAGUCCCACCUAGAGUCAUUGCCCAUGACUUUGUCCUGAUGACUUCUGGAUAUCUCCAAGGAUGAAGAUUCCACAACCUCUGUAGGUAACUGGUUAUAGUGCUCAGUCAUGGUAAAACAAAAUGGUUUUUCUGAUAUUCAGAGGGAACCUUUUAUUUAUAUAUCUAGAUAUCUAGAUAAGAUUUCACUGGGCUUCUCCAGGCUGAACAGUCCCAGCUCUCAUAGCCUUUCCUCACAGGAAAGAUGCUCCAUUCCAUUAAUUUGUUUAGUGUCCCUCUUUUGCACUCUCUCAGAUGUGUCCUCACCAGCGCUGAGCAGAGAGGGAGGAUCAGUUCUCUCAACCUGCUGUUAAUGCUGUGCCUGGUGCACUACUGUUCUUCUUUGCUGCAAGGGCACAUUGCUGGCUCAUUGGUGCCCACCAGGACCCCCAGGGCCUUUUCUGCUCUGCUGCUUUUCAGCCAGUCAGUCUCCAACACAUCCUUGUUGCAUGGUUAUACAUUUUAUCGCUCCUUUUAAACAGACUCCCUGGUCUCAAGCACCCUGGCCUGCCAUUUUCCCAUCCACACCCCAGUAGGGUCAAAACAGCAUAAAGAGAGCCUCACUCUCCACAUAGCCUUGAUCCACCUGGAGAACAAAUUUCCCUGUUGCUCACUUGCCCCUAAGCCCUAGCUCCACAAGAUCGGGC